rnacentral:rRNA from 1 species
CGGACGGGUGAGUAAUGUCUGGGAAACUGCCCGAUGGAGGGGGAUAACUACUGGAAACGGUAGCUAAUACCGCAUAACGUCGCAAGACCAAAGAGGGGACCUUCGGGCCUCUUGCCAUCGGAUGUGCCCAGAUGGGAUUAGCUAGUAGGUGGGGUAACGGCUCACCUAGGCGACGAUCCCUAGCUGGUCUGAGAGGAUGACCAGCCACAUUGGAACUGAGACACGGUCCAG